rnacentral:ncRNA from 1 species
ACGAGCCACAUGCAGGGAAACUUGCACGUGUGGUUCUGGCCGGGCUUUCCUGAGGUAUAAUUCAGUUUUACACAUGGACUUGGCCCAUUAACCACCAAUUAAAAUUAAUUAUUUAAAAAUCACUCAUCCACUAAAU